AAGAAGUGGCUCAGAAUGGAAGUGGGUCAUCUUCAGCGACAAGUCCUGCUUUGGUGGUCUUAUCUAGCUCUCCAAAAGAUUUGUGUGGAGGAAUCGAAGUAAGCAUCAAGAUGAAAGGAACUUUGACAGGCCAGUCGUGUUACAAUAACGAGGUCCUGCAACCAGUGGUUAUACCUUUUCUGCAUGCACACUCGAGUGCACUGUUUCAACAGGACAAUGCCUAUCCUCGCUGCUGCUGCUUUCUCAAGAGCUUGCCUUGAUGACAGAGAUGCUAUGUAAUGUCCAGGUGCAUCGCCAGACUUGAAUUGAUUGAAACUGAUUAAAAAUGUGUGGUAUGCUUUUGGACAUUUUAUUAUCCCUGGCAUCAGCACAAACUUC